rnacentral:rRNA from 1 species
UUACCAAACUCAUCAUUAGACGCCUCUGGUGUUACCCAUGAAAACGACCGAGAUAGGAGGAUACAGAGAAACUCUCGUAGCCGAGCAUGUUAUCAGAAGAAAAACAAGGAAUUGACGGUUGAUGAUAGAGAAGAUCUGAAUGAAAAGAUCCGAGGGAAGCGCGUAGAACGCUGCAAAAGCAUGUCCAUGAUUGAGAAAGGGCAGUCAAGUGCUCAAAGGAAGGCCAGUUAUGCUAAACGAAAAAACACCCCGUGCAAAGAAUCCAUCACACUCCCACGUCCAGACAUAACAAACUCAACAUCCGAUAGUCUAGCAAUACCCCUCUCUCUGCCUGCCGAAGAUGAUUCAUCAGAUGGCGACCCUCCCCCGGUCAUGCCGAAUUACGGUGUUUGCACCAAUGACGACAUCGAUGUGUUCCUAGAACCCAUCAUGGGCGAUGAGCCAACACCAGCCAAAUUGAUGGAUGAGGAGUACUACAUGUAUCGCAACCAAGGAUCCGAUAAUGACACAUUCGAGGAUGACGAGGAAGCGAGCAUGUCAUCUACUAGGCCUAGCGAGGUUGAUCCAUUAGACUAUGUGUACACAAACAUACCAGACAGCACUCACAUCCUCAAGCUCGACGCAAACUGCAAACACUGCAAUGCCAGAAAGUUUGUGUCUGAGACAGAUAGAUUCUGCUGUCGCAAUGGACAGAUCGAGCUUAAACAACCGGAACCAAUCCCAGAGCUUAUGAGGCUAUGGCCUAGCCUA